UGACAAAGGCUCAAUAAGGCCCAACGAGUUAGUAUUGGUAUCCUUUUAAUUUUAAUUUAAUUCGAAAUAAAGAGUGUCUUCUCCUGAGCGAGGAAGAAGAGAAGAGGAAUGGGAGGAAGCGUCGAAAAAUGGCGAUGCGUUUGGAAUUGGAUUCAGCGCCCAAGUCCUUGGAGAUGCGCGCAACAGCGUCUCUUGCACGAGGGCCCAGACACCGUCGAGGAGCUUCUCGACAGACACCUCGUCAAAAACAAAAACAAAGACAAAGACGACGAGUUGGAGAAUCGGAGGCAACUCACCAGCACUCGCCGAGAAGCGCUGAGCCUGUACCGCGACAUUCUCCGGGCCACCCGCUUCUUCACGUGGCCCGAUUCCCGCGGCGUCAUGUGGCGCGACAUCCUCAGAGACAACGCCCGAACCGAGUUCGAACAGGCCCGCUUCGAAACCGACCCGGAAAUCGUGACCCGAUUGCUUAUCGGUGGCCGCGAAGCCCUUCACUCCACUAUCGAUAAGCUCGCCGAUAAGCACAAGCAACAGAUUCAGAAAGAUGACUCUCCCCAACGCUGAAUUAUUAAGGGUUCUGCAGUGCACCCUUCUUACCUAUAUGGCAUGGACAUACUGUUGGUGAUUAUCUGGAGUUAUUUGAAUGAGUAGUACAAGUUGAUGUACUUUCUUGGCAAUUUGGACCUGUUCUCCAGGCUUUGAGGCAACAGUAUAGUCUUGUGGAAUAUCUGGCUAAACAAGCAGCACUUACUGUAUUCGCAUACUAGAAAAUUUGUUACCAAGUUAUGAUAACAAAUCUAUCGUGUAUGCCAAAAGAUUUGUUGUACAUAAAAUUAACUGUCAAGUACCGUUACCAUAAUGUGUUUGGAAUAAAAAUGGAAGUUUUGCUUUGUUGUAUUGAGAAUACAGUUAUUUGAAAUUUUGGAAGUUGUAAUGCUUAUCUUACAUGACAUUACAGGAUCAUUUUACUUUUGUAUUA